rnacentral:misc_RNA from 1 species
AAGGAGCACUUCUGCAUCGCACCCCGAAGAGUCGGGGAUGGUAAACGCUGAUGCCAGAGACCGUUUCGGAUGCAUACGUCAUCCGGCGGACGCUCAUGGGUGGAACGCUGACAAUCUCAUCGCAUCGUGAUCGGAGCUGUGUCUCCGGUCCGCGGUGAUAUACCGACACACUAUUGGGUCCUGAAAGAACACGCGGAAGCGAGUUUUUUCCAGGCAAGAUAACGACGAGGCUUUCUCGGCGGUCAUACCGCAGGAUGUGUUCCUGGCUGGUGCCGCAGUAGUGAGAGGGUCUUGUGUGUUGUUUGAGAACUGCACAGUGGACGCGAGCAUCUUUGUUA